UCCCAAGGCAAUAGGAGAAAAGGUGGUGGCAGCUCCUGCUCUCCAGUCUCUAGAUGGAAUUUGGUGUGGCGAAAUCAUGGUGGGAGCAGCUGGAGGUCUUUGUUAAACAGUAAAGCAGAAGCAAAACAGAGAGAGCAGAGAUGAACAAGGAGGCCCGUGCCCCCCCCACCCUUCCCUGUGUUUGCUUCGGAUUCCCUCCAGCAUUCUCAGCCUCUUCAGGGAUGUCUUCAGAAUUCCCAGCAGGCAACGCUUGGCAAUACAUGACAAUUUUUCAAGCGACCUACAAGGAGAUAGCCUACCUAUCCCUGACCUCAUGGAAACAUCAACUAAAUUCUUUCCCUGUGGAAUGGCUCUUUCUUAGCACACACAUAGAUCCUCAGCCUUCUGACUUUGCAAGGAGUUUGAGAAGUGCAUGAGAAAUUGGUCCCAAAGAGCUACUCCACUGGCAGCAGCAGGAGACAUCUUGCCGUGUCCUGCUGGCACUCAAUAAUCCGCCACUGAAGCAGACUCUUCACCCCACCUCAAGGAACGACCACCCCAGGUCAUCAAACAAUAAGCAAAGCUUAUUGCUCAGUGGCAACUGAAUGAGGUCCUUUGCCACACAGAACAAGCAAGGUAGCCAAUUCUCACAGCCUUCUCAUUUAUAAAACUGGAUUACUUCCUACUGAAAAUUCAAAGGAAUACCAGAUCCUAGCUGAAGCCAUCCAUUUAACAAGAAGCUCUUUUGAGGAACUUGAAACAUCCCAAGAUUCCUGUGUUUUUAACAGCUGCACGACAGGCAGAAAAAUCAACAGGUGAAAAGUCAACCCCAUCACUCCAUCCCUGUGACAAUAAAAUCGUCACCUGUUGAAUUUCAUCCAGGCGGCAGGCACAGAUACCCUGCCGGGAGGGGGCGAAAAAUGACUACUCUGUUCCAAGAUAACUUAAUUCCGAGGAGGAAUCUCCUUACCUGCAAGAAAGAGUAUAGGCUGU